rnacentral:rRNA from 1 species
GACGAACGCUGGCGGCGUGCCUAAUACAUGCAAGUAGAACGCUGAAGAGAGGAGCUUGCUCUUCUUGGAUGAGUUGCGAACGGGUGAGUAACGCGUAGGUAACCUGCCUGGUAGCGGGGGAUAACUAUUGGAAACGAUAGCUAAUACCGCAUGAUAUUAAUUGUCGCAUGAUAAUUAAUUGAAAGAUGCAAUUGCAUCACUACCAGAUGGACCUGCGUUGUAUUAGCUAGUUGGUGAGGUAACGGCUCACCAAGGCGACGAUACAUAGCCGACCUGAGAGGGUGAUCGGCCACACUGGGACUGAGACACGGCCCAGACUCCUACGGGAGGCAGCAGUAGGGAAUCUUCGGCAAUGGGGGGAACCCUGACCGAGCAACGCCGCGUGAGUGAAGAAGGUUUUCGGAUCGUAAAGCUCUGUUGUAAGAGAAGAACG